UUUUAGAUACAAUAAGGUAAGGUAAGUGUCCUGCUAUGAACAGUAACAGACCUUUUAGAUACAAUAAGGUAAGGUAAGUGUCCUGCUAUGAACAGUAACAGACCUUUUAGAUACAAUAAGGUAAGGUAAGUGUCCUGCUAUGAACAGUAACAGACCUUUUAGAUACAAUAAGGUAAGGUAAGUGUCCUGCUAUGAACAGUAACAGACCUU